rnacentral:rRNA from 1 species
CUUGACAACGGAUAUCUUGGCUCUUGCAUCGAUGAAGAACGUAAUGAAAUGCGAUACUUGGUGUGAAUUGCAAAAUCCCAUGACCCAUCGAGUUUUUUAACGUAACUUGCGCCGAAAGCCUUCUGGCCAAGGACACGUCUUCCUGGGCAUCAAC